UACGUAGGGUGCGAGCGUUGUCCGGAAUUAUUGGGCGUAAAGAGCUUGUAGGCGGUUUGUCGCGUCUGCCGUGAAAUUUCGGGGCUCAACCUCGGGCUUGCAGUGGAUACGGGCAGACUAGAGUGCGGUAGGGGAGACUGGAAUUCCUGGUGUAGCGGUGGAAUGCGCAGAUAUCAGGAGGAACACCGAUGGCGAAGGCAGGUCUCUGGGCCGCAACUGACGCUGAGGAGCGAAAGCAUGGGGAGCGAACAGG
rnacentral:rRNA from 1 species